AUUAUAUAAAUCUUCAGUCCUUUGACGUAAUGUCUACAAAAGUGAGCUUUCAGAUUUUAAGUUACUGAGAUUCUUGGCUAUAACAUAGACAGUCUUAUUUUAAAUUCACUAUCACUACAUAUUCUAUUUCCGAAAGACUUCCUAUGAAAUGUUGCCCAUUUCCUCUCAUUUCAUUCUUCUCGUGUUGCAUCUUGCUCCUUCCAUUUUAGUGCCUUGGUUCUUGGUAAAACCCUGCCUUUCCCAAAUUUUCUUCCAUAUUUCAACGAGAUCUUCUUACGGAAAUCAUUCAACAAUCGUUCGAACUACAAAGGGAAGAAUCUCGAAUCUUGUAGGAGAAUCAUAAGCGGAUGAGGGUUCGGGAAGAAGAUCUGCUAUUUCUAAAAGAUCCUAAUUAAGUUGGAUAUUUCUUUGUUGUUGCAGUUUUUGAGGUAUUUUGCUAAAGAUUUGUUCAUUUUAUGUGUGAGUUUAUACUGAUCAGUGAACAUUUAAGAUUUAAGCUUUCAUAAUGUUUAUUUCCUAGGCAAAAUGUUGGAAAAAAAUGGUUUAAUGGGUCAACUUUGAGCCCAAAUUUCAGUGGGACCCACCUUUUAAAUAAUACGGGACCUAGCAUAUUCACGUUCUAUUCCGCGAGAUGAUGAACGUGAUAUAUUUAUUUAUCGAAAACCAUUUAAAAUUGAAUGAAAUAUUAAGUGUUAAAGUAACCCACAUAAACUAAGGAUUAUGGAAGAAUUUGAUUUGCCAAACACUUAUCCCACA
rnacentral:lncRNA from 1 species